rnacentral:rRNA from 1 species
UACGGAGGGUGCAAGCGUUAUCCGGAUUCACUGGGUUUAAAGGGUGCGUAGGUGGGUUCGUAAGUCAGUGGUGAAAUCUCCGAGCUUAACUUGGAAACUGCCAUUGAUACUAUGAGUCUUGAAUAUUGUGGAGGUCAGCGGAAUAUGUCAUGUAGCGGUGAAAUGCUUAGAUAUGACAUAGAACACCAAUUGCGAAGGCAGCUUACUACGGAUUGAUUGACACUGAGGCACGAAAGCGUGGGGAUCAAACAGG